rnacentral:rRNA from 1 species
UACGUAGGGAGCAAGCGUUGUCCGGAUUUACUGGGUGUAAAGGGUGCGUAGGCGGUUUGGCAAGUCAGAAGUGAAAUCCAUGGGCUUAACCCGUGAACUGCUUUUGAAACUGUCAGACUUGAGUGAAGUAGAGGUAGGCGGAAUUCCCGGUGUAGCGGUGAAAUGCGUAGAGAUCGGGAGGAACACCAGUGGCGAAGGCGGCCUACUGGGCUUUAACUGACGCUGAGGCACGAAAGCAUGGGUAGCAAACA